rnacentral:lncRNA from 1 species
UUUUUUUUUGUCUUCUAAAAAUAAAUAGAGCGAGGUUAAGGAGACACAGAAAAUGGAAAUGAGGGGUAGGAUUUUUUUUGGUCUUCUAAAAAUAAAUAGAGCGAGGUUAAGGAGACACGACAAUUAUUGAUAGAGAAAAAGAGUUGGAGAAUUAGUUUUUGUGGUAUCAAUGGACGGUAUAAGCCAUCAUGUUUGACAUAUUAUUUUCUAAAUUAGAACAAUUUUUGAUCAUUUAUUGUUAUUGCGUGGCAAUGCGUGAAUAUUUAUUGUAAAGUAUAUGUCGGACAAGAUUGAUGUUGAACCGCUAGAGUACAUGCCCAUUGUCGUAGUAUAUAUACCAUUUCAUAUAUCAUGGCCGACUAUGAUGGUGUGCAUUCUUUGGCACUGGAAAUUGGCCCGGGACACCAUAGAGGGGAAAGGAUGGGGAGGGCGACGCCAUGGAAGGAAGGGGAGACUACGCUGAGAGAAAGAUGUCGGUUGAACGUCGUGGUUGGGAGAGAUGGCAAUGGCAUCAGCGAGGAAAGCAGUGCGGGGGAAUGAGAUGUGGGUAUGAGCGUUGUGCCAUGUAGUGAGAGAAUGAGAGAGUGAUUUGCUUUUUUUUCAUAAGAAAAACAAUAAGGUGUGGCUGUUUGCUUUUUUUAGGGAAAGAGGUUGUUUGCUAUGAGAGAAAUGCCACAUACUCUUAUGUAGUGACAAAUAUCAGAUACCUUAACAAAGACAUUUCUAGAUUUUUUUUACCAACAAGUGAUUUACAUGUGAACUUAUACUUUAUUAAAAUUAGAAUCUGACCCACUUUACUAGAAAGUAUGAUGCCACUCACUCCGACUAAAAACGUAACCUACUCUCAUUUAGCAUCUGACCAAUGAAUAUAUGUUGUAUAUAAGCUUAUAUUUUUUUUAAAUACUGUUUAUAUGUUCACUUUUGUAUAUCAGAGAUAAAAACCGGUGGCAUCCGAGGAUGCUUUGGUAAAUGUCGAUUGACAAAGUUUUAUGAUGGUUCUGACUGAAAAAUCAUCGAGUUUUACACAAUCCGGAAAGAUGCAUACAAAUGAUUAUUCUUUAUAUAUUUGUUGCACAUCAUAAUACAAAAGGUGUGUUUCUAUAUAUCUUUAUUUUUGUAGAUUAUGGGAGAGAUGGAAAUGGAUUAUGUCGACUUUAAAAAAAUCCAUCCACAAAGGUGUCGAGGUGAUGUUGUUAAAAUUCACCGAGCUUUAUACAACGAAAAGCCCGUAGCAACGCACGGGCAUUCUACUAGUUAAUUGAUAAUGCAUAUGCCACUAACCCGUGUUAUGAGCAUGUGCAUCUUGUGGAGGAGAAUGCCAAAUUGAAGGAUCAACUUGAGAAAGGCCUUGUGACAUGCAUUCAAGGUAAGAAGAACCUCAACGACCUUUUGAGCAAUCAAAAGGAAUUUGUGGCCAAGGAAGGUAUUGGGUUCGCACCCAAGUCCAAGAACAAGAAGAAGAACGACAAGACCAAACGAUCUCCUCCUCUCAAGCAAACCUUUGUGAAAGAGGGAGAGGGUGCUCCUAAGGAGAAGAAGAACAAUGUGAAGGGGGUUGAUGUCAAAAAGGGCAAAACCACCUCAUCCUCCUUCAACAAAGUCGGCGACUUUAACCCUUCUUAUGUGUUGUGCCGUGCUAGUGAUGGACAUGUUUAUGCUAAAUUUGUUGGUUCUCCUUAUGAGUACAUUGAAUGGUCUAUUUGGGUUCCUAAGACCCUUGUUACUAACAUCAAAGGACCCAUUACUAAAUGGGUACCUAAAACCAAGCAUUGAUCUCUUAUAGGUGUUUGCUUCUGUGGGGGAUCAUGGUUGCUCGAUAGUGGAGCAACAAAUCAUAUGACCGGGAGCAAGGACUUGGUGGUGGACGUGCAAAAGAUCCCAUCUAUGCCCACCAAUGUCGAGUUGGGUGAUGCCUCACAUUCUAAGGUAUUGGGUCUUGGCAAGGUUGUCAUUUCUCAUGGUCUAACGAUUGAGAAAGUCAUGCUUGUUGAGUCCCUUGCAUACAAUUUACUUUCCGUUCGUCAACUUGCACUCAUGGGUUUUGCCACUUUCUUUGAUAUUGAUAUCGUGGCCCUCUUGUGGAGCAAGACUCUUAAAGUAGCCUUUGUUGGGCAUGUCGAGAAUGGUCUCUAUGUGAUUAACUUUUCGGAGCGACCCACUAAGACCGCGACAUGCCUAAUGGCUAAAGUUGACGUGGGAUGGCUUUGGCAUCGCCGUUUAGCCCACGUCAAUAUGAGAUCCUUGCAAAAUCUCCUCAAGGGGGACCAUGUCCAUGGACUCACAAAUGUUAGUUUUGACAAAGAUCGUGCUUGCAGUGCUUGUAUCGAAGGAAAGCUUCAUGAGAAGGCUCACCCUCCCACGACCAUCAUCUACUCAAAGAGACCCUUGGAGCUCCUUCACAUGGAUCUCUUUGGACCUCCAUCCUUUGAUAGUCUUGGAGGUAGAAAGUAUUGCUUGGUGAUUGUGGAUGAUUAUUCAAGAUACACUUGGGUAUACUUCUUCAAGAGGAAGAGUGAGACUCAACAAACCGUCGUCGACUUUGCAAAUGAAGCUCUACGUCGACAUGAUGCAAAGAUCUUGACAAUAAGGAGUGACAAUGGCACCGAGUUCAAGAACUACACCUUGGAUGAGUUUCUUAGUGAUGAGGGGAUCAAGCAUCAAUAUGCUGCACCAUAUACCCCUCAACAAAAUGGUGUCGCGGAGAGGAAGAACCGGACGUUGAUGGAUGCGGCAAGGGACCAUGAAGGCGGAGUUCAAGUAUCCAUACAACUUUUGGGCUGAAGCCAUCAACACAGCAUGUCAUGCAUCCAAUCGGCUCUAUCUCCGCAAAGGCUUGAACAAGACUCCCUAUGAAAUACUCACCGGUAACAAGCCCAAUCUCAAGUACUUCCGGGUGUUCGAGUGUAAGUGUUUCGUUCUCAAGAAAGGUGUUCGUUUGUCUAAAUUUGAGGCUAGAGCUUAUGAGGGCAUAUUUGUUGGUUAUGCUACAAACUCUCAUGCUUACCGUGUCCUCAACAAGUCCACCGGACUCAUUGAGGAGACGUGUAACAUAGAGUUUGACGAAAAUAACGGCUCCCAAGUGGAGCAAAGUGGUACUUGUGAUGUAGGUGAUGAAAUUCCUCCCCAAGCCAUAAGAAGAAUUGGUGUGGGUCAUAUCCUACCCAUUGAGGAACCCCUUGUGGCCGAAGGAGAAGGACAAUGCUCCACUCAAGUGGAGCCAUCACCUCCCCAAGACCCACACGCUUCCGAAGAACAAAGUGAAGGCCCUCAACCUCAUGAACAAGACCAAGGACAAGAUCAACCUCAAGAUGGUGGUGAACCACCAAAUGAUGCCCAAGGUCAAGUUCUCCCCCUCGAGCAAGUUCAAGAUCAAGAGCAAACUCAAGAUCUUGAACAAGCUCAAGACGGCGCUCAAGAUAAUCAAGUUAACCCUCCUCCUUCCACAUCCGAGGAGGAAUUAGAGCAUCGUGCCGCGAAGAUUGCUUCCAAGCUCACCACCAAAGGUAAUCUCAUGGAGAAUGUGGUUAGAAGCCUAAGAAAGGGGGUAAGCACUCGUAGACAAUUAGCAAACUAUUGUGAACAUCACGCGUUUGUCUCUUGCGUUGAACCCCAAAAGGUCUAUGAGGCGCUCGAAGAUCCGGAUUGGCUCAAUGCCAUGCAUGAAGAACUCAACAACUUCGAGUACAACAAGGUAUGGAGAUUGGUGCCAAGGCCGUCGGGGAACCACAACGUCAUUGGAACCAAGUGGAUAUUCAAGAACAAUCAAGAUGCUCAUGGGAACAUCAUUCGCAACAAGGCAAGAUUGGUAGCACAAGGCUACUCCCAGGUCGAGGGUAUCGACUACGGUGAAACCUUUGCUCCCGUUGCCCGCCUUGAAUCCAUUAGUUUGUUGAUUGCUUAUGCUUCCCAUCACAACUUUAAGUUACAACAAAUGGAUGUGAAAAGUGCUUUUCUUAAUGGUCCUAUUAAUGAGUUGGUUUAUGUCAAGCAACCCCCCGGGUUCGAGGAUCCCUACUUCCCGGAUCAUGUGUAUCAACUCGAUAAGGCACUCUAUGGCCUUAAACAAGCCCCACGUGCGUGGUAUGACCACCUUACCGAGUUGUUACAAGAUCGUGGAUUUGAGGUUGGGCAAAUCAAUCCCACUCUUUUUACUAAGAAGGUCAAAGGGGAGUUGUUUGUAUGCCAACUAUAUGUUGAUGAUAUUAUCUUUGGUUCCCCUAACAAAGCUUUCAAUGAGGAAUUUGCCGCUCUCAUGACCUCUAAGUUCAAGAUGUCAUCAAUGGGAGAGUUGAAGUUCUUCCUCGGUUUCGACAUCAAGCAAAGAAGAGAAGGUACCUUCAUCAAUCAAGCCAAAUACACUCAAGACAUGCUAAAAAGAUUCAAGCUAAGUGAUGUCAAGCCAGCUUCUACUCCAAUGCCUACCAAGUGCCCACUUGACAUUGAUCCCAAUGGUAAAGCGGUGGAUCAAAAGGUAUAUCGCUCCAUGAUUGGCUCCUUGCUUUACCUUUGUGCAUCUAGACCGGAUAUCAUGUUGAGUGUGGGAAUAUGUGCACGGUUUCAAGCCGCACCGAAGGAAAGCCACUAUGUGGCGGUCAAGCGAAUCUUUCGAUAUUUGGCUCAUACCCCAAACUUUGGUUUAUGGUACCCAAGAGGAGCAAACUUCAAGCUCGAAGGUUAUAUGGAUUCUGAUUGGGCGGGAGACAAAGUGGAUAGGAAGGCCACUUCCGGAGGGUGCCAAUUUCUUGGUUGCUCUUUGGUGAGUUGGUCUUCCAAGAAGCAAAGUUGUGUGUCUCUCUCGUCCACCGAAGCGGAAUAUGUGGCGGCCGGUAGUUGUUGUGCACAACUCUUAUGGAUGAGGCAAACUUUAAAGGAGUACGGUGUCAUUUGUGACAAAGUGCCUCUUUGGUGUGAUAAUGAAAGUGCCAUCAAGAUUUCUCUCAACCCGGUGCAACAUUUCAAGAUGAAGCAUAUUGAGAUUCGGUAUCACUUCAUCCGGGAUCACAUUAGGCGUGGGGAGAUCGAGCUCAAGUAUGUCAACACUAAUGAUAACCUUGCAGAUAUUUUCACCAAGCCCUUGGAUGAAGCAAGAUUUCGCGAGUUAAGGCAUGAGCUAAAUAUCAUUGAUUCAAGCAAUGUAUCUUGAACCCAUGCACAUCCCACCACAUUCAAGGUGUCGUCUAGUUUAGGUGUAGGCAUGGAUUUAGGGGGAGUGUUGUUCUCUCAAUAAACUCCCCCUCCACCCAUUAUGUAUAAAUUGAUCAAGUCUUUCACUUUAACCAUCUUCGAUGGUACUUGUGCUUCAAGGACAAGUUUUGGUCAUGGGCCCAAGGUUAAAAUAUUCGCGGUGCCAUACCUCGUGACUCAAACAUAGGUGGCCUCGGCCACCGCCCUCUCUUGAAGAGGUGUGUCUUGGCCCCUUGCUAUUGUGCUUGUUGCCUCGUCGUGUUUGGCGUUGGUUUCUCUCUUUUGAGCUUAGUUUUCUUUGUGUGUCUAGUUGCCGUGGCGUGCUGGGCGGUACUACCGCUGGUGGUGCGCGGUACUGCCGCUUAUAAGCGGUACUACCGCCCACCAGCACGGUACUACCGCUGCGGGGCGGGAUCAGGGGGGUCAUUUCGGGGCAGAGGGAGGUUUCUCUCCCCCAUACCCAUUCGCUUCGCCCCCUUGCUCCUCUUCGUCUCUCCAGCACCGUCUUGCGGCGGGAGGGCUCCGGCGGAUCUCCUUCUCCGGGGCGUCCCUCUCCAUUUCCUUCGGUGGAGUCGAUCCCCACCCCGUCCUCUUGCCAUGGAUGCCGGUAUUGCCCCCGUUCCCUUACUCUUUUUGUCUAGAUUUCAGAUCUAGCAUCUUAGGGGCAUUAGUGGUUGCAUCUCUAGAUUUUUGGCUAAAUCUAGGCUUGAGUAGGAUGGAGAAGGCAACUAGGCAUCGUGGAUUAGUGUUUGGUUGGAAUAUUUUUGAAUUUGGCAGGCCGGUAGUGCCGGAUCUGACCACGACAGUAGGAAACCAUUGUUUCCCCGCUUCGGGCGGUACUACCACUCUCAUUGGAGCGGUACUACCGCUUGGAGCGGUACUGUCGCCUCCAGGUCGCGGUACUACCACUGCCUACCAAAUUCCAUCAUGUCUCUACCUUUCAUUGAUCCUUUUGUUGUGUUUUGUGGCUUAUGCUCGUUCUUUCUAGUUGUUUUGCGUGUUCGUGUGUUUGGCUCCAAGUGAUGAACAUCCUGAGCAUCAAGCUCACCGUGUCAACCCCGGUCGUGCCACGUCAAAGCGUUACCGCACAUCUGAGUCAGCAGGAGGUUCCUCAAGUGCUCCACCUCCACCUCAACUCAAGAAGAAGUCUGCUGUCAAGCCAAAGUCAACGGGCAAAACCGUGCCUCAAAUGAAUGCCAAGGAGUUCUGGGCAAGGCGUCGCCGUAACCCUUAUGAGGUGGACCAAGAACCCACUUUGGUCAACCGUCCGUUCUAGAACCGCUUUCAGUUUGCCAUCUUCUUUGAUGUGCUCAAGGCCAAGAAGAAUCUCUAUGUUGAUGUGCGCUCCAUCGACACGGACCAUAUGGAGCAGGAUCCUGAGUACUUUGGUGAAGCUUUUCAGAUGUGCUCUCAGCUAAACAUUCUCAGCAUCAUGCAAUUCAACAAGGACUAUGAUGCAGAUAUCGUGGCUCAAUUCUAUGCCAUGGUCCAUCUAGGGACUGAUGAGGACCGGACUCUGACUUGGAUGACCAAUGGCAAGUUGCUUUCUAUCAAGUGGAAGGCAUUCAUGGAGUUACUUGGAGUGGAAGAUCACGGUCUUGAGACUCCUGUCGGCUUUCGCCCUCACCGCAACACAACCCCACUCACAAGCAAGCUCUCUAGCCCUACUUCACUUUGAAGAAGAAUCCUGAAACUAAGAAGGAAUCAUAUGAGCUGUCUGCCUAUCUGGACAUUCUCCACCGUGUCUUCCAUGAGACUCUUUUCCCUCGCAUCGGGAAUCUGGAUAUGGUUCACUCUUAUCUCGUGGACAUGCUUCUCUUCUGCCAGCAUGAGAAGGAAGCAAACACUGGCGAGUCCCUGGACAUUUCUCAUGUUAUGUGGUAAGCUCUUAUCUGCUAUCUCUGAGCGCAAGUGCCCGAUCUAUGGUCCGUUCAUCAUGCUGCUCAUUGAGAAGGCCUCGAGUCAGACCUAUCCCAAGGUUAUGCUCGAGACUGGAGAGUUGGUGGCUCAUGAGAUCAAGCGUCUGAGGAAGAAGGACAACUGGGGCACUCAUGUUCCUAAAUCUGGGGGUACAUCAUCUGCUGCUGCCAUGAAGACCGAGGAGGAGGCUGAGGCUGAGGAUGAUGAUGACUAUGAGCCUUCUGGGGCAGAGCCCUCUUGGGCAAAGAAGCUCAAGCUCAAGAUGAAGAAGCUAUUCUGCAUGGAGUCUCACAGUCAGUACAUGACUCAUGUGGCUGAGAAGAAGGUCAGGGGACGUCACAAGGAGCUCAUGCAUCAGUUGGGUGCCACCGUUAACAGUGCAUCUGAGGACCAGCUUACUAAGGAGGAGGAGUGGAUUCAGCAGCACUGUCCAUGGACAGAUUCUAAUGCCAAGCAGUUCCCGAUCGACGACGGUGGCAAAGACGAUCCCGCUGGGAUCUGAUAUUCAAGACCCUCGCUUGCUAUCACCUAGAGCUGUAGCAACACUCCCUCUCCUUUUUGGUGUCUCGAUGCCAAAGGGGGAGAGAGUUUAGGGAUUUGUGUCGUUGUUGUUGUCUGUUUCGCGAGUGUGUCUUCUGUCUUCUGUGUGGUGUGUUUGUGUUUUCUCGCCGUUUGCUUUGUUUGGUUUUGUGUUAGUGAGACCUAAGUUCCAAACAUAUGGUGUGAGACAUAUGUUACCUUAUCUUUAGAUUAUCAUUAUCUAUGUCUAUCUAGUCCCUCGGUAGCUUAUGAGUUGCAUGCUUAUCCUGUUAUAUACUUUGCUCUCAUAUACCCUGCUUAGGUUGUUGGUCCCUAAAAUGUAGGGGGAGCGUUGAUCCUAGUAUGUGUGCCAUGCAGUCCAAAGCACUUAUCUAGAUAGCACACAUCUAGGGGGAGCCCAUCUACAUUUUAGGGUUGUGGGGUUUGCGCAUGUCCUAUGUCUUUUUCCGUUUGCACAAAUCCCGUAUUGUCAUCAAUCCACCAAAAAGGGGAUAUUGUAAGGGCAUAUUUAUCCCCAAGGUAUUUUGGUGAUUGAUGACAAUGCUUUUGUGGACUAAUCGUGUGCGUUGAGUUUUUCAGAGAUUCAUCCUUUGGCACGAGACAAUUCCUUCCCCUUGGUGUUUUAUUCAAGACGGUGUAGCUCCUUCGUUCCUAUGUUGGUGGACUAGUUUCGUAGGAGUCACCGUACUAUCAAGAGGGGAUCCGCUUUGGUAAGGUUAGGGUGGAAUCAACACGUACACAUCCUUAUCGCACCCGUUGUUCCUUUCCGCUUCAAUGGAGUUCCCUUUCCUCUCCUUGCUUGCCCUGACUGGUCCCAGCGGUAGUACCGCGGGCCUCAGCGAUAGUACCGCCGAAGCACAUCAAGCGGUAGUACCGCUCCAUAAGCGGUAGUACCGCUUGCUGUCUUCCGCUGCAGUACCGCUGUGGCUCCGGGCUACUACCGCCUCGACUCAAGGCCUCAUUUUCUCGUGUCGGAUUGUGCGGCACUUGCUGCGGCAGUAGCGGCGGUAGUACCGCUCCCAAGCGGUAGUACCGCCCUUACCACUGCGGUAGUACCGCUCUGGGCCCAGUUCCUGCUCCUCUCAUGUGCGCGGCAGUACCGCUAGGUGGGAUGGUAGUACAGCUGGCUCAGCGGUAGUACUGCCCACCCAAGUGGUAGUACCGCUCUCUGCGGGGCUGCUUGGGGGGUAACAGUUGGAUUGUUCCCCCUACCGUAUAAAGGGGUCUUCUUCCCCAAAGUUGACCUACCUCUUCCCCCAAAAACUCCAUUGUUGCUCCAAGCUCCAUUUUAGCCCGAUCUCUCUCCCUAGCCAAUCAAACUUGUUGAUUUGCUCGGGAUAGGUUGAGAACGCCCUGAUCUACACUUCCACCAAGAGAAAUUUGAUUCCCCCACUAAUCCCUAGCGGAUCUUGUUACUCUUGGGUGUUUGAGCACCCUAGACAGUUGAGGUCACCUCGGAGCCAUAGUCCAUUGUGGUGAAGCUUCGUGGUGUUGUUGGGAGCCUCCAAUUAAGUUGUGGAGAUAGCCCCAACCUUGUUUGUAAAGGUUCGGUCGCCGCCUUCAAGGGCACCAAUAGUGGAAUCACGGCAUCUCGCAUUGUGUGAGGGCGUGAGGAGAAUACGGUGGCCCUAGUGGCUUCUUGGGGAGCAUUGUGCCUCCACACCGCUCUAACUGAGACAUACUUCCCCUCAAAAGGAAGGAACUUCGGUAACACAUCCUCGUCUCCAUCGGCUCCACUCUUGGUUAUCUCGUGCCUUUACUUGUGCAAGCUAUUUGUGUUGUAUCCCUUGCAUGCUUGUGCACUUAUUGUUGUUGCAUCAUAUAGGUUGUUCACCUAGUUGCAUAUUUAGACAACCUGCUUUGAUGCUAAGUUUAAUUUGGUAAAGAAAAGCUAAAAACUGUUAGUUGCAUAUUCACCCCCCCCCCCUAGUCAACUAUAUCGAUCCUUUCAGUCGGGAUGAGACUUCGGACUUUAUGAAAAAUAAAAAAGGACAAAGAAGCCCAAAUAAAAAAAGAGAGGCCAAAGAAGCCCACCAAAAAUUAAAAACAAACAAAACAAAGAGAGAGAAAAAUAGAGAAGGGGCAAUGCUACUAUCCUUUUACCACACUUGUGCUUCAAAGUAGCACCAUGAUCUUCAUGAUAGAGAGUCUCCUAUGUUGUCACUUACAUAUACUAGUGGGAAUUUUUCAUUAUAGAACUUGGCUUGUAUAUUCCAAUGAUGGGCUUCCUCAAAAGUGCCCUAGGUCUUCGUGAGCAAGCAAGUUGGAUGCACACCCACUUAGUUUCUUUUUGAGCUUUCAUACACUUAUAGCUCUAGUGCAUCCAUUGCAUGGCAAUCCCUACUCACUCACAUUGAUAUCUAUUGAUGGGCAUCUCCAUAGCCCGUUGAUACGCCUAGUUGAUGUGAGACUAUCUCCUUAUCUUUGUCUUCUCCACAACCACCAUUCUAUUCCACCUAUAGUGCUAUGUCCAUGGCUCACGCUCAUGUAUUGUGUGAAAGUUGAAAAGGUUUGAGAAUACUAACGGAUGAAACAAUUGCUUGGCUGAAACCGGGGUUGUGCAUGAUUUAAAUAUUGUGUGAUGAAGAUAGAGCAUAGCCAGACUAUAUGAUUUUGUAGGGAUAACUUUCUUUGGCCAUGUUAUUUUGAGAAGACAUGAUUACUUUGUUAGUAUGCUUGAAGUAUUAUUACUCUUAUGUCAAUAUGAACUUUUAUUUUGAAUCAUUUGGAUCUGAACAUUCAUGCCACAAUAAAGAAAAUUACAUUGAGAAAUAUGCUAGGUAGCAUUCCACAUCAAAAAUUCUGUUUUUAUCAUUUACCUACUCGACGACAAGUAGGAAUUAAGCUUGGGGAUGCUUGAUACGUCUCCAACGCAUCUAUAAUUUUUGAUUGUUCCAUGCUAUUAUAUUACCCGUUUUGGAUGUUUAUGGGCUUUACUAUACACUUCUAUAUCAUUUUUGGGACUACCUAUUAACCGGAGGCCCAGCCCAAAUUGCUGUUUUUUUUGCCUAUUUCAGUGUUUCGCAGAAAAGGAAUAUCAAACAGAGUCCAAAUGGAAUGAAACCUUCGGGAGAGUUAUUUUUGGAACGAAAGCAAUCCAGGAGACUUGGAGUAGACGUUAGGGAAGCAACGAGGUGUCCACGAGGGUCCAAGGCGCGCCCCGGCCCUCGUGGGCCCCUUGUGGCUCCCCUGACCGACUUCUUUCGCCUAUAUAUAUCCAUAUACCCCGAAAACAUCCAGGAGCACAAUAGAUCGAGAGUUCCGCCGCCGCAAGCCUCUGUAGCCACCAAAAACCUCUUAGGAGCCCGUUCUGGUACCCUGCCGGAGGGGGAAUCCAGCACCGGUGGCCAUCUUCAUCAUCCCGGCGCUCUCCAUGACGAGGAGGGAGUAGUUCACCCUCGGAGCUGAGGGUAUGUACCAGUAGCUAUGUGUUUGAUCUCUCUCUCUCUCUCUCUCUCUCUCUCUCUCUCUCUCUCGUGUUCUUGAUUUGGCAUGAUCUUGAUGUAUCGCGAGCUUUGCUGUUAUAGUUGGAUCUUAUGAUGUUUCUCCCCCUCUACUCUCUUGUAAUGGAUUGAGUUUUCCCUUUGGAGUUAUCUUGUCGGAUUGAGUCUUUAAGGAUUUGAGAACACUUGAUGUAUGUCUUGUCGUGCUUAUCUGUGGUGACAAUGGGAUAUCCACGUGAUCUACUUGAUGUAUGUUUUGGUGAUCAACUUGCGGGUUCAGUGAACUUAUACAUAUGGGUUGUCACACCUUUUCGUCUUGACUCUCCGGUAGAAACUUUGGGGCACUCUUUGAAGUUCUGUGUGUUGGUUGAAUAGAUGAAUCUGAGAUUGUGUGAUGCAUAUCGUAUAAUCAUACCCACGGAUACUUGAGGUGACAUCGGAGUAUCUAAGUGACAUUAGGGUUUUGGUUGAUUUGUAUCUUAAGGUGUUAUUCUAGUACGAACUCUAGGAUAGAUUGAACGGAAAGAAUAGCUUCGUGUUAUUUUACUACGAACUCUUGAAUAGAUCGAUCAUAAAGGAUAACUUUGAGGUGGUUUCCUACCCUACAAUAAUCUCUUCGUUUGUUCUCCGCUAUUAGUGACUUUGGAGUGACUCUUUGUUGCAUGUUCAGGGAUAGUUAUAUGAUCCAAUUAUGUUAUUAUUGUUGAGAGAACUUGCACUAGUGAAAGUAUGAACCCUAGGCCUUGUUUCGAAGCAUUGCAAUACCGUUUGUGCUCACUUUUAUCAUUAGUUACCUUGCUGUUUUUUAUAUUUUCAUAUUACAAAAACCUAUAUCUAUCAUCCAUAUUGCACUUGUAUCACCAUCUCUUCGCCGAACUAGUGCACCUAUACAAUUUACCAUUGUAUUGGGUGUGUUGGGGACACAAGAGAUUCUUUGUUAUUUGGUUGAAGGGUUGUUUGAGAGAGACCAUCUUCAAUCUACGCCUCCCACGGAUUGAUAAACCUUAGGUCAUCCACUUAAGGGAAAUUUGUUACUGUCCUACAAACCUCUGCACUUGGAGGCCCAACAAUGUCUACAAGAAGAAGGUGCGUAGUAGACAUCAGCGCAUCGGGACAAAACCGUGGAGGCACAUUGGCAUGAAAGAGAAGGGUACGAACGCAAUCAUUGAGAAUGCAUAGCACACGUUCAGCGUGGCCAUUUUGUUGUGAUGUAUAAGGACAUGUGAGACGAAAGAUCGUGCCAUGUGAUGCGAGAAGGGUGUGAACAGCAAGAUUGUCAAAUUCUUUCCCGUUAUCGGUUUGGAGUGCAUGUAUGGGACGACCAGACUGUGUGGAGACAUAGGCAUAGAAAGUCGUAAGAGUCGCUAGUGCAUCAGACUCGUAAGGGAAACAUACACACAUAAUUUGAAAAAUUCUCUAAGAUCACGAGGUAAUAAAGAUAGCCAGUAUUGCCUGCGGCCAGAGAUGUCCAUAUAUCACUAUGAAGUAAUUGAAAUGAAAAAGAAGAUAUGGUGGUGGAUGCACUAAAAGGAAGACGAACGUGCUUCCCGACACGACAAGCAAGACAAAGGUGAUCGUCGAUCUUAUUACAUGUGAAUGAGAAACCUCUAAGAAUAUGACAAAGUGCGGAUGAAUUGGGAUGACCCAAAUGAGCAUGCCAGAGGUCUACACCGGUGGAGAGGAUGACAGGGGUGACAGUGGCGGUGGAGGAUGAGUGCACCGGGUGGAGUUUGGCUGGGCUGUCACACCGGAGGAGAACCAUAUGGGUACGGGCGUCCUUGAUAUGUCUCUGUCAUAUCUACUUUUCCAAACACUUUCGCUCUUGUUCUGGACUCUAAUUUGCAUGAUUUGAAUGAAACUAACCCGGACUGACACUGUUUUCAGCACACCUACUAUGGUGUUGUUUUUGUGCAAAAAUAAAAGUUCUCAGAAUUGGAUGGAACUUUUUGGAGAUUUUUUACGGAAUAAAUAAAAAUACUAGAGCAAAGACCCACUGGAGGGGGGCCACUAGGUGCCCACGAGGCACCAGGGUGUGCCCUGGUCGCUUGUGGCGCCCACGUGGCUCCGCUGACCCUAAUCUCGGCACUAUAAAUUCCUAUUUCCCGAGAAAAAAAUAGGGGAGGAAGUUUCAUCGCGUUUUAUGAUUCGGAGCCACUGUCACCUCUUGUUCUUCAUCAGGAGGCCAGAUCUGGAGUCCGUUCGGGGCUCCGGAAAGGGGGAUCUUCCUUCUUUGUCAUCAUCAACCAUCGUCCAUCACCAGUUUCAUGAUGCUCACCGCCGGGAGUGAGUAAUUCCUUCGUAGGCUUGCUGGACGAUGAUGGGUUGGAUGAGAUUUAUCAUGUAAUCGUAUUGGUUUUGUUAGGGUUGAUCCCUAGCAUCCACUAUGUUUUGAGAUUGAUGUUGUUAUGACUUUGCUAUGCUUAAUGCUUGUCACUAGGGCCCAAGUGCCAUGAUUUCAUAUCUGAACCCUUUAUGUUUUCAUGAAUACAUUUGAGUUCUUGAUCUAAUCUUGCAAGUUGUAUGCAUCUGCUACGUGUUAUGAUCUGCAUACCCCAAGGUGAUAAUAAUUGGGAUUCUUUCCGGUGAUUACCGUAGUUUGAGGAGUUCAUGUAUUCACUAUGCGUUAAUGCUUUGUUCCGGUUCUCUAUUAAAAGGAGGCAUUAAUAUCCCUUAGUUUCCUUAUGGACCCCCUGCCACGGGAGGGUAGGACAAAAGAUGUCAUGCAAGUUCUUAUCGCAAGCACGUAUGACUACAUACGAAAUACAUGCCUACAUUACAUUGAUUAAUUGGAGCUAGUUCUGUGUCACCCUAUGUUAUGAUCGUUACAUGACAAACCGCAUCCGGCAUAAUUAUCGAUCACUAAUCCGGUGCCUACGAGCUUUUCCAUAUACUGGUUCUCGCUUAUUUACUUUUCUGUUGCUACUGUUACAAUCACUACAAAAAUACCAAAAACAUUAUUUUUGCUGUCUUUACUUUUGUUGCCGUUACCACCACUAUCAUAUUACUUUGCUACUAAACACUUUGCUGCAGAUACUAAGUUUCCAGGUGUGGUUGAAUUGACAACUCAGCUGCUAAUACUUGAGAAUAUUCUUUGCCUCCCCUUGUGUCGAAUCAAUAAAUUUGGGUUGAAUACUCUACCCUCUAAAGCUGUUGCGAUCCCCUAUACUUGUGGGUUAUCAAGACCUUUUUCUGGCGCCGUUGCCGGGGAACAUAGCUCUAUUCUUUGCGUCAUUUGGGAUUUAUAUCUGCUGGACAUUAUGAAGAACUUGAAAGAUGAUAGAACUAAUAUUUUGCCCUCAACUACGAGGGGAGGUAAGGAACUGCCAUCUAGCUCUGCACUAGAUUCUCCUUCCGUUAUAAGUAAGCUUGCGACACCUAAACCUGCUUCUGCUAUGAAUUCUGAUAUGUCGCAUGUUAUUGAUGAUGCCACUUCUGCUAUGCAUGAUACUUAUGAUGAAACCACUUCUAUGCUUAGUAAUACUGUGCCCCUUGGUAAAUUUCUUGAUGAACAAAUUUCUAGAUCUAGAGAAAGAGAAAUUAUUGAAUCUGAAUACGAUGAUGAGAGUGAUGAUGAAAAAACUUGCGUCAUCUAUGGUGGAUUAGGGUUUUUGUGGGAGAUGAGAAGGGAGGGAUAGAGGCAGCGGCGGUAGUAGGGGCGGCGGCGACGGGUUGCGCCGGCGGCUAGAGGUAGCGGUGACGGCGAAGAGGAGAAGCUGAGAUGAGAAGGGAGGGAGAGAAGCAGCGGCGGCAAUAGGACGGCGGCUGCGAUGAGGAGAGGAAGGGCGGCGGCGGCGGUAGCAAGGUGCGGCGACGACAAGGAGAGAAAGCUAGGCCGCACGAGAGAAAACGAAAAUUGAUACCAUGUUGUUCGGAAAAAUGUGAUUGCACGCAACACAAUUCAUCGAUCACGUGCAAGUGCACAUAUACAGGUAUAAGGGUGCACGACCUUGACUUAUCUUCUAAACUAUACACUAUACAUAGGAGAAAGGAGGUGUGACAAUACAUAACCCUAACUUAUACGUCCAUACGCGUUCAACAUAGCCUACGAACAUAGCAGACAGGGUUCGCCAUUGGAGGCUUGGAGCAUUUUUUGAGACGUGAUCAAAGAUCGAUGACACUUUUGCGACCCAGACCUGUCUGGACCUUCUUUUCCUCUGUUGUUUGGCGUUUUGGCUGAUACUACGACGUUUGGCGUUUCAGACUCGUCGAUGAGUUUGUGAGCGUUCGAAACCUCACUCUCACGUAGGUGUGCCCUACAGCCUCAUUCCUCUGUUGUCCGUUCCUCUCGCGUGUUGACACCUGGCAAGCACACCUCAAAGCGCACAGGAACCGUCCUAUACUACUAUUCCCGACCUUGCUGGCGCCGACCAUCCGCGGACGGUGGGUUCUCUGUCCCACAGACCCCCACCCAUCCCAUCCUAUCAUCUCCACCAGAAUCCCUGAAUCUGCAGCUGAUAUUACUACCACAUCUCUGAAUUCGGCAAAAUAGGAUAGGGCAGAUAAGCACACCACUUAUGGCCUCUCCAGAAUCCAGGCAAUGCCAUCAACCCACAAUAACGUGUCCUCUCCAAAACAAGCAACCAGUGGUAACGCCAUGCCCAUGCCCAGCUCUCCUUUCCUUCCUCGGCGCUGCCUGCUUCUACCUUCCUCAGUACAUUCCAUAUGCGGAGGACCGGCCGGCACCCCCACACCGACUGAACCGAUCGUUCGUCGCGAGUCGCCUCGCUGCCACGCUACCCUUCCUCUGCUGACAGCAUGAAGGAACGAAGGUGGUUGAAGGGAAAAGGCACGUCGCCAGGACAGAUUUUAUUUCUCGGUUGCGUUGAGGCGAUGCCAAGUGCCCGCACCGGAUCACGCCCUGGUCCGUCGUUGAACCGGGAGCCCGGGAUUAUUAUUCCGCGUCGGUUUGCGGUCCCUGGCUGGCUCCUCCCUCCUUCCUUUUUAAACCCCCUUCUCUCGCUCACUCGACAGUGUAGCAUCGAUCUCAACCUAAUCCUUAACUGCCCUCCCAACACAAAACUCCUCUUCCUCCCCUGUCCGCGACUCUGUCUGACACCCCGUUCUUCCUCCCUGCCUUCGUCGACGGUUUCGUCCUUGGUUCCCCGAUUCAUUCCCUCCUGCUGUUCCUGAAGGCCAAGUUGACAACUGCUGCUGCUGCUUCGGGUACAGAAGAGAGGCGUCGAUCCUGAUUCAUCUGCGACUGGAUUCUUGGUUGGAUUCUACCUUGGUCGCCGUGGAUCGGCCAUGUUCGUCAAGAAGCUCGUGGAGAAGGCCUCCAAGAAGGUAUAUAACCUCUCUCUCGCUCGCUCGCUCGAUCCAAUCCAGUCCAAUGCUCUCUGCUGCCAUUUUACUACUACUCCGAUUUAUCAGCUUCCUUGUUCUCGGUCGAUUCUGUGUGGUAGGGAGUAGAGAUUAAGACAAUUUUGCUACAGCAUGUAGUAGAUGAGAUUUGAGGGUGAGUAGUAAUCCUAGAAUGGUCUCUUUUCUUAUCCUGAUUGAGGAGUAGUUGUUGAUGUCGCUCCUCCCCUUCUCCACCGACCGAAUUCGCACGUAAUCCUUCCUGCGGAAAAUGUCACUUUCUGCUCAUUUCCUUAUUUUCGCCGUGGGAACAAGAAAAGAAUGUUGCCUCGUGGACGCCGUCCCCCAAUGUCGCCCUGCCUCGUCAGAGAUGGAGUGUCGCGCUCGCGUCCUUGUUUCGGUCCGAGCUCCGUUCAAAUUUGAAACACCCACAAAUGUCAUGGACUCAUGUAGUACGAUUCAGAAAUUUAAGGCAGCUCUGCAAGUCCAUGUGACCUCAUUAAUGUCGUCCAAGCAAAGGACGCAUUGUUUAGUCGCUGCGGAAAUGAUUCUACCUAGUGCCGUGGCACCAACAGUGAGGCGACCGAUCGAGAUGGAUAAUAAAUUUUGAUAGAUUGACCAAGUUCGACGCAUAGAUUGGAUGGGUUACAAUACUGUGGAGUUGUUGAUAGUAUAAAAUAUCCUAGUAGUAGGCCGGUCCUUGGAGAUCAACGAGACAACGAGAUUCGCUUAUUCUUAUACGUAUAUGCUCUUCGGUUCAGCGUAGGCUUGCCGGCUUUGGCCUGCAGUCACCGACGACUGUUUUACAGCGGGCAUUGUUCAGUCGCGGCUGUCGAUUUCAGUAUCUGGCUUUGGCCAACUCUUUCAUAUCGUGCCGUUUCCAAAACAUGAUCUGCGUCAUAUGCCUUGACUCUCUGCUGAAUUACUCGCUCGUGCAGCGAGAUACCUGAGGCUACAGUAGUAAGCAUGUAGGGUUCAUUUCUGACGGGGCACUCUUGACAUGAUGGGGCGUGAUUUUCCCUUUUUUAUUUAAGGGUGAAAAAGGUAUUAGUAACUUCAUAGCAGGGCAACUGAGGAAGGUGCAACAAAGUGGAUAAACAAAAUGAUACUCUAGCAGGCCAUGCAGUAACAGCAACGCGCUAGUGCAAACUUGAGAUUUGUGAUGAUUCACUCUGGAAAAAGAUUUUUGAUGAUUUCAAACAUGAAUCUUAUUUCAGCAGUGCUACACACAUGACACACUGCGCACGAUUCAUGGACGAUACUUAAAUCCAGCCGCACAUGCACAUCAUUGAGAAGGACACCAGCGGCUGGAUUAGCACGUCGUGCAUAUAUCGGGCAGCAGUGUCGUCUGGGUAGCAGUUUCGAUCUUAUUUUGAAAUUGCACUAGCCUGACGCGUGUACCAGUCCGUUCGCAUCAUGAUUUCUCAGCGCUAAUUAGAUCACGCCACCUGGUCGUUUUAUUAGAUCGUGCAAAAGUUAAGAUGCUGCCACUACGUGCUCAUUUCGAUGUGACUAUCCCAUGUGCUUGGCCGGCUGAGCUCAUGGGCCGGGGGAUCAAGACAUCCUGACACGUAGAUGGACUUACAUCAAGUAGGAACCAGGACAUAUCUCGUCCUUUUCCUUCAUUUAUUAUUUUUGUCAGAGACAAACAUUUCAAGUUUGAAAGUGAUAUUUUAGGGUGCAAUAAGGACAAAAUAGGGUGAGAAAAUAAAAGAUUUGAACAAGAAAAGAGAGCUCCCGGCGAGGAUCGAACUCGCGGCCUUUCGCUUACGAAGCGAACGCAAUACCACUAUGCUACGGAAGCACCUGCGUCCCAUUUUCCGUAUGCCUCUAAUCCUUGUUUACUUCUUCGCAGCAACACAGCGGCGGCACCGGCGGGCUGCGGGCCGAGGACGUGAGCCCGCGGCUGGCCUUCCACUACGGCGUCCCCGCCGACGCCGCCCUCCUCGCCUACGACCCGCUCCUCCACGUCCUCGCCGUCGCCACCAGGUAACCCACCGGCAGCUCUCAACAAACCCCACCCGCUUGCCUGCUGCUUCCCUUCCGUUCCGAGUUCCGACGGACGCGCCGCCCACCCACCUCUCCCCGCCGUUGCUCACCCCCAUUGCUGCGCCGCUCACCUGCAGGAAUGGGCAGAUCAAGCUGUUCGGCCGCGACAACACGCAGGCGCUGCUCCAGUCCCCCUCCCCUAUCCCCUCCAAGUUCUUGCAGGUACCACUCACCACCUGCUUCCAAUCCCAUUGCUGUUCCGUGUCCAGCGCUGCAUUGCUCAACUUGGAUCGAUGUUUCAGUUCGCCGAUGGCCAAGGGAUUCUCCUGAACGUCAACACUCAGAACCAGAUCGAGGCACGUCUAUUCCUCCUACACAUUACCUUGGUCCAUUCACUAAAUGUGGUCUUCUCUCUCCAUGCGUUGUUGACUCGGAAGAGCGUCGUUUGCAGGUCUGGGACAUCGACACCAAGAGGCUGUGUUAUCUGCAUCCCUUUGAGAAGCAAAUAACCGCGUUUACAGUACUGCAGAAGAGUUUCUACAUGUAAGUGAUGGUUACCGAAUGUACUGGUACUGCGGCAUGGAUCUUGAUGGGUUAAAUGUGCUAACGAGAAUUCUGGGUUGCGCAGAUAUGCAGGAGAUAGUUUUGGAAAUGUGUCCUUGUUCAAGCUUGACUUGGGCCAGCGGUGUCUAGUUGACCUGCCGUAUUGCAUUCCUUUUGCUGAGUCCUAUGGUAUGCUGUCUUUUUUUUUCUUUCCUUGAACACGCAUCAAAAUGCGUGUCACUUUGUAUUAGGGGAAAAGCACCAAGACAAAGGCCAAAACACGCCAAAACGACAGAACAGAACGAAACUAUCGGAAAAGAACUAGAAUCGUAACUAACCAAAAAAGCAGCAAACCAAAUCAGGAAAGAUAAGCCGUCUCUAGAAUAACAAUGUAUAUGUUGCAUACUCACUUUUCUUAAGGCUAGCUGCAUACCCAACUUUGUUAAUUCUUCUUCGAGGAAGUUUAUUUAGUUUGCAGUUAUAUGUAAAAUAUCAUCCCCAUUCAGAUAUUUGGUAAAUAUUCAGAAAGAAACUUCACAACAGCAGUACUGAUGCCAAUCAAUAAGAGACAUUUUAAUUGGAAAAUGAAAUUCAAAUUUUGACUCACUUUGAUCUGUUAUUGAAGGUUCCACGGCAAAUGGUGGUAAUGGGGUAGAAGUCGCAUUUGUAUCGCCGCAGCCUUUGGCUGAAUCUAACAGGUGGGUCUCUUCUCAUUACCAUGGUUUGGCACGAAUAAUUGCAGCUUUUGAGCCAUGUCAUAUUCGUGUUGAUCUUCCAUAUAAUUCAUAGCCCUCUGUAAGCAUAGUGAGAUAUCUGAUUAAGUUGCACUCUUCCUCUCAGGUUGCUCAUUAUAUUCAGAGAUGGUGUCAUGACCUUAUGGGAUAUUAAGGCAAGCAGAGUGGUAUUCGUAUCCGGUAGAACUACGCAACAACAAUUGCACCAGGAGGAGAAAAAUGUGACAUCGUCAUGCUGGGCUUGUUCCAAGGGAAGCAAAGUUGCUAUUGGAUAUGACAGUGGUGAUAUCUACCUUUGGGCUAUUCCUGAUAUUUUCAGUGCAGAAAAUUCUUCAUCUUUGAGUAAUCAGAAUCUACCACUUCAGAGGCUUAACCUUGGAUACAAGCUAGACAAGGUGCCAAUAAUCUCUUUGAGAUGGGUUCCUAGUGAUGGAAAGUCUGGACGUUUGUAUAUUAAUGGAUUCAGCGAACAUGCAUACCUAUAUCAGGUAGAAACACUGAAAUAUUUUCACAGUGGUUUUUAUGAUGUUCCUGAUUUUCUGCCAUACUUUUCAAGUGCAUGCUUCCCAUAUGGAUAUUGUUAUUCCAAAUGACAUUUUAGUUAUUUCACAUCAUAUCUUAGCAAACUUUAGCUGAUUGCAAAUAAUUGGAGCAGUAAAUUGCAUCAUAUCUGUCUGCCAGCACUAUCACUAAAUAACUAUCAGGUUGUCAGAUACCGAUUUUCUCUGGCCUCUGGCCCUUUUGAAUACGAAACUCAGGUUCUAUGAUUUUGCUUCUCAGUAUUACAUUUUCUAGGGUUUUAAGAAGCGUAUCGAUUGGUAACAGACCGAUUUAGACUGGAUGAUCUACUGGUUUUGGGACUGACUUGAACAAAUAAAAAAUUAUGGGUACUCAAAGUAAAUGCUCACCCAAAGGGCAACGGAUUGGGUGUCAUUUUUCCAGCAACCAGACAAAAGAUCCAUGUCCAAAGCAUUAUUUGAACUUGGAACGGUCGAUUUCUUUCUGAAGAAUAGCUGGUUCACGUGGAUAAGAUGUCUUGGUAUUUUUGUUUAGUGAGAAAUGCAUCUUCGUUCAACCUUUCAUUUGUGUUUUCUGGACACAGGUCCUGAUUCUGAAUGAAGAGAGUGAAUCUCGAAUAGUAAAGAUGGUAUUGCCCCUCACAGAAGCUUGUCAAGGAAUGGAGUUUGUUACAGGCCUUAGCGACCCAAAUAAGCAAAGACAGACUGUUCUUGUUCUCUUGUUGAAAUCUGGUCAAAUCUGUUUAUACGAUGAUUCAGAAAUUGAGCGCUACCUUCUUCAAUCUCAGUCUAGAUCACCACCAACACUUCCAAGCCACUCAUUUGUGAAACAACCGUAUGGUGAUUCGGGCAUCAACGUUGCAAAGUUCUACACAAGUGACCGUACAGCAACAGCUAAUGAGGCAUGUAUAGAUUUGUAAAUUAUACCUGCAAACAACUGUGAACUCUUUGACCAGACAGCUUCAUCUUUUUAAUGGACAGGAUUAUUUUUCAACAUUGGCCUCCAAAUAUCCAUGGCUGCUUUCACUGAAGGAUAAAGGUCAGAUAUCCGCAAGUCUUAGCAACAUCCAUAAAACCAGGAAUCUUUAUAUAACUGGGCAUAUGGAUGGAACCAUAAGCUUUUGGGAUGCAUCAUGUCCUCUUCUGCUGCAGAUUUUUAUGAUAAAGCAGCAGGUAGCUUCAAAUCCCAACUGUUUUGCCAAGUGUUAUACAAUUAUGAAUUCUUAUACGAACUGUCGUGUUCAACUUCAUUCUAAUAACCAUCUAAUAACUUCACAGCAUGAAGAUAAUACAUCAAGUCGAGCCCGUAUUACUUCAUUGCAGUUUGAUACGUCCUCCAGUAUUCUUAUAUCUGGGGAUCAGGGUGGAACAGUAAGCUAUUCCACGGCUACCAGGUGGUUUCUAGUUUAUGUGUUAAAUACACUUCCAGUGCAUUGACAUUUAUUUCUUCUUUCCAGGUCCGCGUAAUCACAUUCAAAAAGGACUCUAGCGACAAUAUAUUAUCCAUUUUACAAGGUACUAACUUGCUCAGGGGUUGUGCUUCCAUCUACCUAUAAAAGAGUUUGCACUAGAAUAAUUUCAAUAAUAUUACUGCAAACUUUGCAAUUUACCAGUUAAAUUUUAGCACAUUCAGUGAUUUUUUGGCGCAUUAAACUAAUGGAUGGUUAGUAUACAUUCAUUAUCACGUUUGCAUUAUCCGAGUAUAAGAUCACCUCCUUUCAGUAAAUAAGCAUGAGUUUGCGGCUUGUCUCGCCCAGUUCUAAACUAUCAUAAUAAGGUUGUUUAUAGGGUUUCCAUAGGCGAACCUUCAAUUAAAAGUAAGAGAUGAUCCGGAGUUUGCUGCAUUAAUUCCAAAAGAAAGGACAGGCGCAUAAUGUAGAGUUUCUCAAGAGUUAUAUAUGUUUGGUUGAUUUUGGUGUCCACAAGUAGAAACAAUUUAUAUAUUUUAUAUAUGAGGUAUAAGCUUAAUAAAUGGCUGUCAGCAGUUCAGUACCGCCUGAUCUUAUCAUCUAGUUGAUGUAUCUUUUUAAUAAUGUUUUUAUAUCUAAGUCUAUGGAAUUUCUCUAUGUUAGUUAACCAGAAUUUUUGUGACUCAUUAGGAAAGCAAGGGGAUAACUACGAUGCAAGAAGUAUAAAGCUCAAGGGAGCUGUAACCUCAACCUCUAUGAUCUCUAACUCGAAGCAUUUUGCUGUUGGGACAGAAAAAGGAAUUGUAAGAAAUUUGUCCAUUGUGCAAAAUGUUCUCGAUUUUCUGAACUAUUAGGCUCAAAGCACCGUUAAUCAACACAAUAAAAGCAUAGUAUCACAGUUUCAAAAUAGUAGCACUAAAAUUUUACCACUGUCUACAAUAGUCAAACUGCAGACUCAAAGCUACUCCCUCCGUCCCAUAAUAUAAACGUUCUUAUAUUAUGGGAUGGAGGGAGUACUAAAUAUCAUAUGUGUUUGAUAUGCGAUCUCACAGAAAUUUUUAAAGUUAAAUGGUUAAUAUUACUCACAGUUCAACAAGUUUUAGUAUCUUGUUAAGCAAAAUAGUGGUUACUUCUUUGAAGACUUUGCAGUUCGCCAUUCUUGAUAUGAAGUGACUCAUGUCAUGUAUGUUAUUUAUUUAUUAUUAUUUUUAUUUAUCUACGGCGGGCUUACGCCGGCCUGAACCAUAUGUUAUUUAUUGUUUUGAUGAUUAUUUUAAAGAGAUAGAGGAACUAUCACACAAUCAUUUAUCUCAUGAAAGCAGUUCGUUAAAUAUGGUUAUUCAACUCAAAAUUUGAGCUCAUUAUUCAACCAAGAAAGUGACAUGUCUGGAAAAACAUGUUUCAGGUAUCAGUUAUCAAAGUAGAUGAUGCUACUAUAUUGUAUCAAAAACAGCUUGAGUGUCGUGUCUCUGGUGGAAUUGCCUCCUUGCAAUUUGAACUCUACAGCCACAAUGGGUACGAUAAGGAUCUUCUGAUGGUAGGAAUGGAAGAUUCUUCUAUUUGUAUUCUCGAGGAAGAAACUGGAAAACUUUUGAAUGCCAACCCAGUUCAGACAAACAGACCCACAAGAGCCCUUCUGCUGCAGACAUUGGGUGAGCUAUAAUAAUCCUUUUUUUGGUAUAUCUACCCACCAACCCCAUUCUCAAGGUACUAUUACUGCACUAUUAUGCCAUUCUAAAGCCACAUAAUGCCAUCAUCUAGAGUUAUCUCCAAACGAAGCACCAGGAUCUGAUAACCAUGAUACAGCAUUGAAGGAAUCUUUGCUGUUGCUUUGCACAGAAGAUGCAAUCCGCUUAUUUUCCUUGAGCCAUGCGAUUCAGGUAUUUGUAUUUCCAGUUAUCUCAGAAGUUCUGUUUUUAUGUGAGUGUUGUUGUUCAUAUGGAGCUUUCCUUUGUGCAGGGAAUGAAGAAGAUAACUAAUAAGAAAAAGUUAAAUGGUAGCUGUUGUUUUGCAUCUGUUAUCCAUGGUGCUUCUUCUGAAAUUGGAAUUGUACUAGUCUUCUCCAACGGAAAAGUAGAAACAAGGUGAGAUAACAGCUGAGUUGAAAACUUUGCACGAGGGGUCGAGGGCAUUCAAAUGAAGUCGAUGAAUUCUAGUGUAUUUAUGAAACUGCAGGUCCCUCCCAGAUUUAUCCUUGUUGAAGGAAGCCUCUUUACGAGGUUUUGUACAUUCAAAAAACUUGAAUUCCUCUAGUUCCAUAACAUGUUCAUCUGAUGGAGAAAUCAUCUUGGUAUGGAUUGUACUAUAACUUUACAUUUUGAGACAUCUUCUGUAGUAACUUCAGUAUAGCUCUAUUCAUGAUUUUAAAAGUAGCUUUUACUUAUAAAUAGUUUCUUUGAUUAUACAGAUUAAGGGAGAGGAGACAUAUUUUUUUUCUACUCUCUGUCAAGAUGACAUCUACAGGUAUGGUAGCAUGGUUAGUUUAUAACUUUGGUAAUGAUGAAUAGUUGACCUUGUUUACCAAUAAUGGAGCUUUGCAAUUUAGUGCACUACCACAGACCCAUUGAGCCAUUCUAGAGCUCCUAUUAUGAUCGUCAAAUAGCGGGCACGAUGAUUUCAUUAUUUAUUUCGAGCUGAACUUACAAUUUUUAACAUAGUUAUCUAAGCGUGUGGUUUGUACGCAGGCAUGUAGACAAUAUUAAUAUGGUAUACAGAAAAGACCGCCCUCUCAGGGAAGAAUCUUCCUAUGUGGUUAAGUCUCCCAAAGAAAAGAAAAAGGUAACUGAUUAAUCUUAUGGUCAGUUGAGGCAUCUGUGUAUCUUUCUUUCUAAUAAUGGAAAUUCUCCAGGGCUUAUUUGGGAUGAUUAUGAAAGACACUAAAGGGAGCAAGACAAACGAGAGUGAUACAAAUGGCAAUGGACAAUUCAUCGCAACAACAUCUGAAGAACUGGCCUCAAUAUUUUCAUCAGCGAACUUCACUCCACCAUCUGCAAGGAGGAGCAGUUCACUGAAAGAUGAUGAAAAUAUUGAGUUAGACAUAGGUAUACGAUGUUCAGUUGUUCACAGUUCUAAAAGGCCCUAGCCCCUAGGUGCCUUCCUCCCGCCUAGCCCAACUAGGCGCUAGCCCCACUACCACAUCGUCUGCCUGGCACCUAUCACUUUUUAGAACACCUUAUUACAAUAAUUUUUAGACGACUAUUACUUUUUCUGGGUAUACUUACUCUAAUAUGUUUCUUUCUGAAGAUGAUAUCGACAUUGAAGACAACACACAUAAGCAGAAAGGACCGCACUUCGCAGGUCUAAGCAAACAGAAAUUCAGCAAGGGACUCCAGGCUCUUAGAGGUCAGAAAAGUAUUAUACUAAGAUGUUUGUAAUUAACUUUGCAAUCCAAGGUGCGGCGUUUCAAAAUUAGCGCUCUAGUUCAACUAUUUUAGUGUGAUAUGUUGUUCAAAUGUGUAAUAUGCAGGAAAACUGAAGCCCAGAACAGAAGAAAAGGUGAAUGCAGAAAAUAAGAAGCCUGAAGAUGAACCAUCAGUUAGACAAGUUGACCAGAUAAAGAUGAAGUAUGGAUAUGCAACAAGUGAUGUGAGUGCAUAGAAGCGUCAGUAUAUCAUUGAAAUUAUGACCUGCACAUUUAUGUCCAUAGACAGGCUGAUCUACUCCGAUUGAUGACCAUCUACAUGGAAUCGUAUUAGCAAUGCAUAGAAUAGUGCACAACAUAAUAGGUUAUUUCCCCUCAAGGGAAGAAAUGUGACUAGUUGAUGCAUUCGCUUACCUUUCCUUCAUUGUUGAUCUGAACAGGACUCAACCAGUGUUCCAAAAAUGAUUGGAAACAAGCUGCAAGAGAACAUAAAAAAAUUGGAGGUAAACAUCAUUUUGCUUCCCUACUGAUAGUAUUAUGCCUAUUCCUAUUACCAUGUUGCUCUGUACGGGACCUACCGCGUAAUUCAGUUUCCGAACAAAGUUCUCUCAUUCCCGAUUUCUCUAUGUUCUGCAAAACUUCCCAAUUUCCCUAUGAAUGUCAGGGAAGACACCUGUAAAGAACAUUCUGCAUAAACCUGAAAGGGCAUUAACAUGUACAAAUGUGCUUCCUGCAGGGCAUUAAUCUUCAGUCCGCAGACAUGGCUCAUGGUGCUCAAUCCUUCUCGUCAAUGGCGAAAGAGCUGCUCCGAACCACGAAAAACGAGAAGAGCUCAUCAUAGCAAUGGCAGCUAUAUGCAGUUGCUUUUCGUCUAGUUAUAAAGCUCUUUUUUAUGUUUGUUUGAGAUGGCCAACUGCACUUGCCAUGGUGUCAGCUGUAGAUAGUCUUCUUCACUUCUCUUUACACUUGCUAAGGUUCUUGACAGGUUACUGCCAUGUUCAAGUUGAGCAGUGCUACACACACGACGCUUGCACGACACUGCAUCACAAACCAUCCACUGGCAAGUCUGAGCAGCCGUAGGCGCUUGGAUCAGCUAUCGUGCAUGCGUCGUUCAACAAAAAAUCGUCCGUCAAGUAGUUCCGGUUCAAGUUCACCUCACGCGUGUGGAACAUUAUGCAGCGCUGCCUUAAAAUGAUUUUGUUGUAGAUAGCAAACAGAGGGUACCUUACACCAUCAAUUGUUUCACUGCACAAAUUUGGAUUGAAGAAUACAUGGGCAAACUUAACGUGUUUGAAUCUGAUGAAGAUAAUACCACGCUUCAUGGCUGCACUAUGCUAACACAAGUCACACAACCACCAGCGGCAAGCCAGCAACUGGCAUCGAUUUUUACAUCCUGUCUAAGUAGAAGAAAAAAAACUUCCGUUCCUGACUGCAAAAUGUUACUCCCUCCGUCCCAUAAUGUAAGACGUUUUUUUACACUAGUUUAGUGUCAAAAAACAUCUUACAUUAUGAGACGGAGGGAGUAGAACAGAUGGCCAUUGGUCAACUACAGAGGAAAAAGCAAUUGGACACAAUCUUAAUAAAUAGUAAAAUUUGCUGCACAAAACUCAAGCAAGUGCAGCAGGAGAAGCAAUAAGUGAAAGGCGAACACAAGACAUAAAGCAAUUAAUAGCAAUCCAACAGCAGGCUAGUCAUCAGAUCAGUAGAUAAAAGCAAGCAUAAUAACUGUUUCCACAUGCUGUGGAAAUCCACGAAAGAAAAGCAGUCAAGGGUUUUAAGCUUUUCUUGUCAAACAAAGACAUCUCCAGCAUGCCACAGCCCAGGAGUACGCAUCUAAACAUUCUCCUUACAUAACAUUACAUAAUCCGGACAUCGACAUGGCAAUCUAAACCCUAAGCAGCAAACGCUGAUUUGCACCGCUGCUGUUCCCUCAUCUACUAUUUACUCCUCAU